rnacentral:rRNA from 1 species
AUUGAACGCUGGCGGCAUGCUUUACACAUGCAAGUCGAACGGCAGCACGAGUGCUUGCACUUGGUGGCGAGUGGCGGACGGGUGAGUAAUACAUCGGAACGUAUCCUUAAGUGGGGGAUAACGCAUCGAAAGAUGUGCUAAUACCGCAUAUUCUCUGUGGAGGAAAGUAGGGGAUCGAAAGACCUUAUGCUUAUGGAGCGGCCGAUGCCUGAUUAGCUUGUUGGUGGGGUAAUGGCCUACCAAGGCGACGAUCAGUAGUUGGUCUGAGAGGACGACCAGCCACACUGGGACUGAGACACGGCCCAGACUCCUACGGGAGGCAGCAGUGGGGAAUUUUGGACAAUGGGCGAAAGCCUGAUCCAGCAAUGCCGCGUGAGUGAAGAAGGCCUCGGUUGUUAAGACGUCUUUAGUUUAAGUAAGUAAAGGUAAGUAGUACGUAAUAAUACU